GUGCCACCUCGCGCACGCAGCCGCUCGUUAACGGCGUGUUUUUAUUUUUUAAUUAAUUUUUUUGAGGCAGAGCCUCACUCUGCUGCCCAGGCGGGAGCACAGUGGCGCGAUCACGGCUGACUGCAGCCUCAACCUCCCAGGCUCCAGUGAUCCUCCCGCCUCAGCCUCCUGAGUAGCUGGGACUACAAGUGAGCGCCAAAUCGCCCUGCUAACUUUUUUAUUUUUUGAAGAGACAGGGUUUUGCCAUGUUGCCCAGGCUGGUCUCAAGCAAUCCUACAGACGUGAGCCACUACUCCCUACCUUGGCGAAGUUUUUUAUUUUUUAUUUUUUGAAACGGGGCCUCAUUCUGUCGUCCAGACUGGAGUGCAGUGGCGGGAUCUCGGCUCACGGCAACCUCCGUCUCCCAGGCUCAAGCAAUUCUCCUGCCUCAGCCUUCCGACCAGCUGGGAUUACAGGAGUCCCAGGACACCGGAACCAGGACUCCCCGGCGCACCCGGAGAGUUUCCGAGCUCCUUUGAAGUAUGAAUCAGAACUUCUGGAUGGGAAUCCUGGAGCCACCACUUGCCCUAUGGUCGCAAUGGGCAAGUCGCUCAACCUCCCAGAUCCUGUUUUCUCAUGAGUAAAACGGGGAUUAUAAUACCCACCUGACAAUAUUAUUUUUGUGAGAAUUAAAUGAGUUU
rnacentral:lncRNA from 1 species